rnacentral:lncRNA from 1 species
GGCACUCAUCAUCUCUCCUUCUGUAGCUGCGAAGGAGCACUGCUUUGUUGGGCCGCAUUUAAAGGGUCCACGAUCUGACCAGAUAACAGGGCUUCCAGUCGGUCGUCAAUCUCCGUUUUUUCCCUAAACGCACACCACAGCAACAGCCCGCUGCACAGCAGGCUGAGAGGCAGCACCUUCACCCACGGCCUCUGGUAGUCACUCCCCAUAGACUGGCUGACGCUCCACACCCGCGGGCUGGCCUUGCUGGCAGAGAAGGGGAUGGCUCCCUCGCCCUCUGGAUCCUCCUUAGCUGAGCCCUCAGGGUCACGCCGCCCCGCCAGCCACCUCCGGGGGCCGGCCAAGCGCAAGGUGCACCGCGCCCGCCAGCCGCCCCGCGCCCAGCUCAUCCCGCCGCUCUCCUCCCCAC